GAAAUGGAUAAAGCGUGGAAAGCCGGCUGUUGCCAAUGCGUUUUACGUGUGGUUCGAUAACUGGAUUCAAUUCUCCGCGGGUAUUUUGCAAGAUAUAUUUUUCAACAAUAAACGGCAACAUUACAUGAACUACGGCGGCAUCGGACGUGUUAUUGGCCCUGAGAUUAUCCACGACUUUGAUGAUUUAGACGGGUUAAACACUCUGAGGAAGAACAUCGCGGAUAAUGGCGGCAUAAAGAAAGCUUAUUACGCGUACAAAGAAUGAGUUAAGCGAAACAAGCCAGAGCAAAGGUUACCGGGGUUGUUGUACAGUCUAGAACAGAUGUUCUGGAUAAGCGUGGCCAAUUCUUGAUGUACAAAGAUCGACUAAAAGCACUGAAGCAACGAUAGCGCAUUCCUACAGCUCGGACGAAUUUCGCAUUUGUGGACCACUGUCGAA